CAGGCAUCAAAUCUGAGUUGCAGCUGUGACCUACAUACACCCCAGCUGUGACAACACCAGGUCCUUAACCUACUUGCUGCAGUGGGAACUCCCUCAACUCCUUGACUUUGGAGGGACCAGUGUGUGUUAUGUGCACUUGUUGUGUGUUUUAGGGGAGAGGAGCAAUUGAUCUUACCUGUUUCUCGAGAGUCUAGGACCCCAAAAUGGUUAACAACACUGGCUUAGCAGUGGACAUUUCCUGAAAGGCAUGAACCUGGCCUGGUUGUCCCUCUAGUGCUCCAUGUCCCCAUCCCCUGGGUUUUCACUGCUAUGUGCUUGCACCUUCCUGUACAAGAGUAGCGUUUCCUUAGAAAGUUUCUGUCUUUAUUUUCCCCACCAAACUGCCCAGUGGCACUGUGCCCUCUGUUGGCCUGCCUGUGGUUGCCAUGGUUCAGGGCUUCGACUCUGGUGGCUCUGUCGUCACUCUAAUUACUUUGACUUCAGUGGUGUGUAUAAGAACAGCCUGGAAGGCAGGCACAGACUGGACAGCCUUUGUUCUGAGUUGGACAUAAAUCCAUGCUCUGACUGAACUUGGGUCUGGCUACUUUUGGAACCCAGCCAAUGUCAAGUCUAAUCCAUGGUCUUUUUGGAGAAGCACACACUCAGGAGAAAUCUGGCUGCUUUGUCAAACCCCCACCCCUUCCAUCCUGUGUACAUAGAAACGCACUAGCAGGAGGCGUUUCCGUGGCUGAGCCAUUCCUUCUCUGGAGAGUGAUCCAGUGCACAUCUGUCUGUAGCUCCAUCUCCGCCCAAACCCGGCUGCCUCCAGCCCUGCAUCCCCCUCCUUCCAUCCGCCUUCGACCACUAGAGCCUCAGCCCUCCCGCUGGCCUGGAAGCCCUGCCCCCGCCCCCUUGCACGGGCUCGGCCCAGCUACAGCUCUGAGCUUUUCCUUUGUCACAGCUCCGCCCAGUCGGACACACCCGCUGGGGAAGUUUCCUCGGAUUCUUCCCCAGAGGUCUGGGGUCUGAGUCUAAACUAGCAGAAAUGGACCGUCCAAAAGCCAAGUGCCUCCCAGCUGGGCAGUGCUGCCCCUCUCUAGGAGUGUGGGCCUUGGAGGCUGGCAUCUCGAGGUCCUCUGUGCCACCCGCCAUCAGGAGCUCAGCCAUGGUGAACGAACCCAGAGGGAACGGCGGCCCCGGCCCCCGCUGUGAGGGCAGCAGCAGUGGCAGCGAGAGCUCCAAGGAGAGCUCAAGGUGCUCUACACCGGGGCUGGACCCCGAGCGUCACGAGAGGCUCAGGGAGAAGAUGAAGCGGAGGAUGGAGUCAGGUGACAAGUGGUUCUCCCUAGAAUUCUUCCCUCCUCGAACUGCUCAGGGCGCCGUCAAUCUCAUCUCUAGGUUUGACCGGAUGGGGGCAGGCGGCCCUCUCUUCAUAGAUGUGACCUGGCACCCAGCAGGGGACCCUGGCUCGGACAAGGAGACCUCGUCCAUGGUGAUCGCCAGCACGGCCGUGAACUACUGCGGCCUGGAGACCAUACUGCACAUGACCUGCUGCCAUCAGAGCCGGGAGGAGGUCACGGGCUACCUGCACAAGGCCAAGCGGCUGGGCCUGAAGAACAUCUUGGCGCUGAGGGGAGACCCUGUAGGUGACCAGUGGGAAGCAGAGGAAGGAGGCUUCAGCUACGCUGCAGACUUGGUGAAGCACAUCCGCAGCGAGUUUGGUGACUACUUCGACGUCUGUGUGGCAGGUUACCCCAAAGGCCACCCCGACGCAGAGAGCUUCGAGGCCGACCUGAAACACCUGAAGGAGAAGGUGGCGGCAGGAGCCGACUUCAUCAUCACCCAGCUUUUCUUCGAGGCUGAUACGUUCUUCCGCUUCUUGAAGGCUUGCUCCGAGAUGGGCAUCACCUGCCCCAUCCUCCCGGGCAUCUUCCCCAUCCAGGGCUACCACUCCCUCCGGCAGCUCGUGAAGCUGUCCAAGCUGGAGGUGCCGCAGCAGAUCAAGGACGUGAUCGAGCCCAUCAAAGACAAUGACGCCGCCAUCCGCAACUAUGGCAUCGAGCAGGCUGUGAGCUUGUGCCAGGAGCUUCUGGCCAGUGGCCUGGUGCCGGGCCUCCACUUCUAUACCCUCAACCGCGAGGUGGCCACCACAGAGGUGCUGAAGCGUCUGGGCCUGUGGAUCGAGGACCCCAGGCGCCCCCUGCCCUGGGCUGUCAGCGCCCACCCCAAGCGUCGGGAGGAAGAUGUCCGUCCCAUCUUCUGGGCCUCCAGACCCAAGAGUUACAUUUACCGCACCCAGGAGUGGGAUGAAUUCCCCAACGGCCGCUGGGGCAACUCCUCCUCUCCCGCCUUUGGGGAGCUGAAGGACUACUACCUCUUCUACCUGAAGAGCAAGUCCCCGAAGGAAGAGCUGCUGAAGAUGUGGGGGCAGGAGCUGACCAGCGAAGAGAGUGUCUUUGAAGUCUUUGCCCACUACCUCUCGGGGGAGCCGAACCAGAAUGGCUAUAAAGUGACCUGCCUGCCCUGGAAUGACGAGCCCCUGGCGGCCGAGACCAGCCUGAUGAAGGAGGAGCUGCUGCGGGUGAACCGGCGGGGCAUCCUCACCAUCAACUCCCAGCCCAACAUCAACGGGAAGCCGUCCUCCGACCCCGUCGUGGGCUGGGGCCCCAGCGGGGGCUACGUUUUCCAGAAGGCCUACCUGGAGUUCUUCACUGCCCGGGAGACGGUGGAGGCGCUCUUGCAGGUGCUGAAGAAGUAUGAGCUCCGAGUGAAUUAUCACAUCGUGGAUGUGAAGGUAGGGGCCAGCCUGGGUCACCGGGUCCGAGGGCGCCACAUUUAUGCCACCAUCCGGCAAUCACGGAGCGCCCCGCCAAUCCAGGCAUUGUGCCAGACAGACACGCAGACAGAGCCAGGCCCCUGCCCUCUGAGAGCUCCCAGCCUGGCACGAGAGGCCAUUCGUGGAUAAUCAUGAGCAGGUGUAAGCAGUGCGCUUUUUUUUUCCUUCUCUUUUUUUUUUUUUUGCUUUUUAGGGCUGCACUUGCAGCCUUUGAAAGUUCCCAGGCUGGGGUGGAAUUGGAGCUACAGCUGCUGGCCACAACCACAGCCAUGCAGGAUCUGAGCUGCAUCUGCGACCUAGACCACAGCUCACAGCUGCACCAGAUCCUUAACCCACUGAGCGAGGCCAGGGUUCGAACUCACAACCUCAUGGACACCAGUUGGGUUCAUUACCACUGCACCACAACAGAAACUUCCAGCAGUGUACUUUCUAACAGUAAAGCUCCGUGUGAAAGGCCGGGGCCCCAGGGGUGGGAUGUCUAAUUUGCGAGGUCAGAGGAAGCAUUUGGAGGGGCCCUGUGUGGCCGGAAUGUUUUUUUUUUUUUUUUUUUUUGCUUUUUAGGGCCGCUCCUGCGGCAUAUGGAGAUUCCCAGGCCAUGGGUCCAAUCGGAGGUACAGCUGCCAGCCUACACCACAGCUACAGCAACGCAGGAUCCGAGCUGUGUCUGCAACCUACACCACAGCUCACAGCAACGCCAGGUCAUUAACCCACUGAGUGAGGCCAGGGAUUGAGCCCGCAACCUCAUGGUUCCUAGUCGGGUUCGUUUCCACUGUUCCACAAUGGGAACUCCAUGGCCUGCGUCUUUAAGGACAAGGAGGAGAGGGCAUUCUGGGGAAAGCGGAGAGCAUGCAAAGGCAUUGCUGCCAAAUGGGGUCAGAGUGAGGCCCAGGUGUAAGUGGGGCCAGGUCCAGGGGUCUCCCCGUGCUGCCUCGAAUCUGGGUCUUCCCCCAUGGGCAAGAGGGAGGCGGGCUCCAGGUUUUGUUGGGACAGGUCCCAGUGGACACUGUGAGCAGCGCAGGGUCAGGGCAGGCCUGGUGGAGGAGCAUCGAGGCCUGGCCAGGCGAGACACGAGGCUGGACACAAGAGGAAGCCAGCAGAGCCCCCGGAUGUGGAGCUGAUUGGAGCAUAGGGCGGAGGAAGGAAGAGCCCAGGAUGACCUCUGGGUUUGGGGCCACAGGGAGAGUGGCACAGAGCUGCAGAGCCGGGGUGGGGUGGGGCUGCGUGCACUCCCGGUGAGAGCACCACAGCUGCCUGCACCCCAAGCCGCCCCAACCACCCCCUCACCGCCGCCCAGGGUGAAAACAUCACCAACGCGCCCGAGCUGCAGCCCAAUGCCGUCACUUGGGGCAUCUUCCCUGGACGGGAGAUCAUCCAGCCCACGGUGGUGGACCCGGUCAGCUUCAUGUUCUGGAAGGACGAGGCCUUCGCGCUGUGGAUCGAGCAGUGGGGCAAACUGUACGAGGAGGAGUCCCCGUCCCGCAUGCUCAUCCAGUACAUCCACGACAACUACUUCCUGGUCAACCUGGUGGACAACGAGUUUCCGCUGGACAACUGCCUCUGGCAGGUGGUGGAGGACACAUUUGAGCUUCUCAACAGGCCCCCCCACAACGAGAAGGAGCCCGAGGCCAGUGACCCUGCGCCCUGAGACCCUUCGCGUGAGGCUACCGUGUCCCACCUUCCGCCUCCCGGUCCCGGCUCUUCUGGGGACUCCUGUUCUUCGCUUCUUCCCAGCCCUGGCCUCCCCCCAUGAUGCUGGCAGCUGGACUGGGGGGCUUCCGGCUCUGGCUGGACCUGAGUCCGCCCCACAUGGGAGCCUGGUGUUCCCCGCUCAGCCGAGUCUGGGCUCUUGGUGGGGAGCAGCCCCCCGACCCCCACAAAGGACCCCUGUGGGCAGAAUGCCGUCCUCCCUGAGAAGGGGUGUUGCUGACAGAGCCCCUGGGAGCCGGCCUGGGGCUGCGGUGACCUUGCUCUUGGGGCCUGUGGGAUGGGGACACCAAGCACGCAGCAGGCACAGUGGGACUGCUGGCACUGCGGAGGAGACAAAGUCAAGGUACCGCACCCUUCCGCCUCCAAGGCGUUGGCAGCCGAGCACCCCCGCUUGCGAUUGAAGGAGUGACCACUGCCUGCCAACGCCCCGUUGGGCACGAACCCUGGACGGACCUGGGGCUGAAACCUGAUCACGGUCCCUGCCCGCUCUUGGCCGAGAGCUCAGCUGGACUGUUCCUUUUCUACACGCCUUUUUCACACAGCUGUCUCUGUGUUCCUGUGGCUCAAGAAAGCACCUCUUCAGGGUCAGAGGUGUCUGAAUCCCUGUGCGAGUCGGAGCCGUGGCCUUUGCCUUCUCCCCUGGCCGUGAAGGCUGAAGGGUGCCCUGCCUGCUGCCAUGGAGGGCGCAGGUGAGGUUUGCUCGAGCAGGGUGGACUUCCUGGCUUAUUUUUCAGGCCAGACCUCCUCCUGCCAGCUGCCCCCUCCCCUCGGGGCACCCUAUCCCGGAAUUUGCCCGGCACUGCUCCCCAGGAAGCAGCCCUCAAGCCCUGCCGCCCAGAGGUGCUAGGCCGGUCCCUGCGCAUGGCCCUGCCCGUCUUCAGUGGCUCAGGGGAGGAGGGGGUGGGCAUCCAAAGAGCGGCCUGAUGGCAGAGGAAGUGGGUCAGAGCCGUGUGCCCUUCAGUGCCAGGACAGCCUGGCUGGCCGGGGCAGGGCCAGCAAGAGAGACAGAGAGGAGCCACUGGGACCAGGGGUGUUUUAUUGUCCUUCAGAGCUCUCGGCCUGAGUGCCCCGCGGCGCUCCCCAGAUGGGUGGGGCUCCGGUCUGUUUUUCUUUCCCUGGGCCUGAGCUACAGCUGCAGCUGGGCCCCCUGCUCCCCGCCGGGGCCAGUACAGGCAGAGGAUCUGGCAGCUUCGUCUGCUCCCGGCCUUAUCCUAGGCCUCCGGCUGCUCCUCUGGCUCUGCUCCUCAGGCCCCUGGCUGCCAGGCGCUGGCGCCACCUCUCAAAGGCCUGGAAUGGGGCGGGGGAGGGCAGGCUCUCUGGCUCCCUCCUGGGCCUGUGCUGUCAGCACUGGGCUAACACCUGGGCCCAGUUCCUUUUGUCCCCAGGGAAAAGGAGGCCCUUCCCUCUGCCCCAGGCCAAAUGCACAGGCUCGGAAUAGAGGGGACUUGAGGUCUGGGAAGCUGUGAUCUGAGGGCAUGAUAAGGAGGGGCUGGUGUGAGCAGCUGCAGUGCCACAGGCCAAGCCUGGUUCCCAAACCAUCAACAGGGUGGGACCGGGCUGAGGACAUCAUCACCAGCUGAAUUACAGGCUUGGGAAGCCAGGCUGUGUUUUCUCCAACUGAAAAUGAAGGGUUCUGGGGGCAGCCAUCAGAGAGGGCCAGAGCUCCAGAUGUCCAGGUCUCACUGUUCUGGAAGGGCCUGCGAGGGGGUGGGGUUGCCCCCCAGUACCUGGGAAAGAACCCAGCUGUCUUCCCGUUGCUGGAAACGCUGAGCCACCUGCAGCCGCAGGACCCGCUGCCGCCACAAUCGCCAGGCCCGUCUCAGGUGCCACUGCCUGAGCUAUGGGGACAGUCGGUGACCCUGAGCUGGGCCUGUUGCUGCCCCCAGUAUUCCCAGCCCGUUUGCUGCCUCUCCCACCUGCACCUCUGUGGCACCAGGUGGAAGGGAUGUGACAAGGGCAUGUUAGUGAUGCAGACUCCUGCGCCUGUGCCCAAGGUUUCAGGCGUGGUAGGUCUUUACUUUUGAGAGACACUUCUAGAGCUUAGGUCUGGGAAUGCGAGAUGGGACAUCAACCCGAGGGUUGGAAGGGGCCUCCCCACUCACCAGUGUCCAUGCCAGCUGCUCUGCCUCCCAAGCGUCCACCCAGCACUGCCAUGUGGCUGCCAGGCACCUGGCCUGCUGGGAGCCCUGGAGCCUCCGAAGUAGUGUCUCAAGGCGCCAGCGCUGCAGGUACUUCCUUCUGGGGGGAGAGGCCCUGCUGUGCAUCCUGAUGGCCAAGGAUGUCACGGCACCUCCACAGCCAGGAAAAAGGGCAGGACCAUGGGCCCAGGUCUGGCCCCCACCCCUGCCCCUUGCUCUCCGCACACAGGCUCUGCUCCUACCUCAGCCACGUUUUUCUGGCCUCGCCUUUGCCCUUGGGGUCUCUGGGCUGCUGCAGCAGGAGCUGGGAGGUGGGGCAGAGGGGAGGGUCUCUGUCUCCUGGAAAGAGUCCAGGGGGGAGAGGUUAAAUUGUCAUUCAGGAGGGCAAACUCCGCCUGGUGCCCCUGGAAGUGGAGCAUAAGGAAGAGGGUGAACAAGAAAUGGUGUUGGGGAGUUCCCCAGUGGCCUAGUGGUUAAGAAGUCUCUUGUCACUGCUGUGGCACAGGUUUGAUCCCUGACUCAGGAACUUCUGCAUACCAUGGGUAGGCCAAAAAAAAAAUGUGGUAUCAAGUGAGUUAAGUCUUGUGUCCCGCUUUCCACCACAUCUGCCAAAGCCGCCUGCGGCCCCAAAAGCAGUAACAGCUGAGACAGGAAAAAUUGGAAUUUUUCCAAAUGGUAAAAUAUUCCAGAAGAGGAGGAGUUCCCAUUGUGGCUCAGCGGUAACAAACCUGACUAGGACACAGGUUCGAUCCCUGGCCCUGCUCAGUGGGUUGAGGAUCCAGCAUUAGACAUUGCCACGAGCUUCAGUGUAGAUCAUAGACUCGGCUCAGAUCCCUCCUGCCUGUGGCUGGAGUGUAGGCCGUCUGCUACAGCUCCGAUAAGACCUGGAGCCUGGGAACUUCCAUAUGCUGUGGAUGCAGCCCUGAAAAGACCAAAAAAAAAAAAAAAAAAAAAUUCCAGAAGAGGAGAUUGGCGGGAAACACAGAGUGAAUAUAUCAAACUGGUUCACGAGGAGCCUGAAGCUAAUUCCAAGCUCACACCUCAGACUGUUUAUCCCAGGAGGGAAGAUCUCCUUACUCUGAGCCCAGGACGGUGCUUUCUGCUGCUUCUGUCCACCAGGGCUGUGGUGCUGGGUUGGGCUGGGCAGCCCAGGCCCUGCGGGCUGUGGCCUGCAGCUGCGGGUCUGAGGGAACAGCCAGACAGGAAAACCUGAACCAGUGGGCUUGGACCUCCAGGGGUCCAGGUGAGCUGAAGGCAUCCUUUCCUGCCCUGCCCUCCCACCUUCUGUGUGUGCAUCUCAGGUUCUCCUGGGAGCCCCGAGGCUCCCAGAGGAGACAGAAGGUGCCCGAGAGUAGUGACAGCCAUCAGCACAGGCCUCUGCCUCCUCCUCCUCCUCCCACAGAUGAGAGGACCAGUGAUGGCUACCACCCAGGGAGCGCCUGCCUGGGCCAGGCACCGCCUGUGGGGCGGGUACUGCUUAAGCUUUACACAGUUAAAUUCCUUGCCUGAGGCCCCACCUCUCCAGAGCUGUCUGACCCCAGAGCCUGAGGCUGCACCCCACCCCCACCCUCCCGCUCCGGCCUGGCUCCCUAAGGGGCUCUCUGCCACUGGGAAAUGGCAUAAAGCCUACUCCCACUGUCAGGUGCAGGCUACCUGGGCACGUGUGUGCACGUGGUAGGAAGAAGCCUGGAAUUCAACGCUCUGGUUACCAUUUACCAUUCCUGGCAUUUCUUUGUCUCUACAAGCUUCAGUUCCUCCAUUGGUAAAGCGAAUCCCUGCCUGCCUUUGCGGACAGGAAUGGCAUGAAAGGGUUUAUAAACAUGCUCCGAAAACAAAUUUGUCUUGAAGCACAGAUCUAGAAAUAAAAGACCCUGAGACCCCAAAAUCUGCAGUUGCCACAGCCCCGCCGAAUGUGCAUACGUGGAUUCUGCAAAUAACCAAAGCUGUGACUUUCAAUUCUAUUAGUAAAGAACCACUUUAUAGCAUAACACUGUAAAUCAACUACAAUAAAAUUUUUAUUUCUCUUUUCU